GACGAACGCUGGCGGCGUGCUUAACACAUGCAAGUCGAACGGAAAGGCCCUGCUUUUGCGGGGUGCUCGAGUGGCGAACGGGUGAGUAACACGUGAGUAACCUGCCCUUGACUUUGGGAUAACUUCAGGAAACUGGGGCUAAUACCGGAUAGGAGCUCCUGCUGCAUGGUGGGGGUUGGAAAGUUUCGGCGGUUGGGGAUGGACUCGCGGCUUAUCAGCUUGUUGGUGAGGUAGUGGCUUACCAAGGCUUUGACGGGUAGCCGGCCUGAGAGGGUGACCGGCCACAUUGGGACUGAGAUACGGCCCAGACGCCUACGGGAGGCAGCAGUGGGGAAUAUUACACAAUGGGCGGAAGCCUGAUGCAGCAACGCCGCGUGCGGGAUGACGGCCUUCGAGUUGUAAACCGCUUUCGCCUGUGACGAAGCGUGAGUGACGGUAAUGGGUAAAGAAGCACCGGCUAACUACGUG
rnacentral:rRNA from 1 species